AGAGUUUGAUCAUGGCUCAGGAUGAACGCUAGCGACAGGACUAACACAUGCAAGUCGAGGGGCAACAUGGUAUCAGCUUGCUGAUACUGAUGGCGACCGGCGCACGGGUGGGUAACGCGUAUGUAAUCUACCUGUAACAGAGGGAUAACCCGGAGAAAUCCGGACUAAUACCUCAUAGCACAUAUUAUUCGCAUGAAUUUUAUGUUAAAGAGACUCGGUUACAGAUGAAC
rnacentral:rRNA from 1 species